rnacentral:tRNA from 2 species
GGGGGAGUAGCGCAAUUGGCUAGAGCAUCGGCUUGUCACGCCGAAGGUUGCGGGUUCGAGCCCCGUCUCUCCCGCCA